CUACGGGGUGCAGCAGGCGAGAAUUCUCUACAAUGCACGAAAGUGUGAUAGGGGGACUCAAAGUGCUCAUGGCAACAUGGGCUUUUUACAAGGGUAAAGUCCUUGUAGAAUAAGUGGUGGGCAAGACUGGUGCCAGCAGCCGCGGUUAUACCAGCGCCGCUAGCGGUAAUCGUGAUUAUUGGGCCUAAAGCGUCCGUAGCUGGUUGGGUAAAUCUUUUGUGAAAUUGGAGGACUUAAUUCUUCAACGUGCAUAAGACACUGCUCGACUAGGGACUGGGAGGAGUUAGAAGUAUUGAAGGGGGAGCGGUAGAAUGUGAUAAUCCCUUUAAGACUACCUGUGGCGAAGGCGUCUAACUAGAACAGAUCCGACAGUCAGGGACGAAAGCUAGGGGAGCGAACCGGAUUAGAUACCCGAGUAGUC
rnacentral:rRNA from 1 species